rnacentral:lncRNA from 1 species
UAGAUGGCCAGUCCAAGCAAUGUCUAUUGGAUGUUUGUUAUUGUUGGGGAGGUUUCCUUAUGAAUCAUCUGUCUGGUUUGUGCGUUUUAAUUAAAAUAGAGUGUCACAAUAAAGCCUGAGAGCCAAUUUUGUAAGCAUGCCUGUUCAGGGAGUGGGGAUGGAUGGGAUCACUUGGUACAGACAUAUCCUGGGGGGCCUUUGGACAUCCUCUGUCACUCUGGCAUGUCCUAUAACCUAUGUACAGGUCAGGGAGCUGCACUGUGUGCCCCAAGGCAAACAUGCUGCCUGGGGUGGUAUACAGCCCCUGUCCUCAGCUCUUCCUCUCCUCCUGCCCCAGAAUAUAUUUUUGGGGGAGCAUCAGGACUGAAAGUUAUGGAGGAGUUCAGUGGGUUCGGAGAGGUACAGUCUGUUGGUUAUGAUAUGCAGUGCCUGCUGACAAACCAAGAAGCUGUUUUGAUGACCUGUUGUGCAAAGAAACCUGUCUGCAGGUAA